rnacentral:rRNA from 1 species
CCUACUGGUGGCAGCAGUGAGGAAUAUUUGUCAAUGGGCGCAAGCCUGAACCCGCCAAGUCGCGUGAGGGAUGACGGUCCUAUGGAUUGUAAACCUCUUUUGUCGGGGAGCAAGGCCCGCCACGUGUGGCGGGAAUGAGAGUACCCGAAGCACAAGCAUCGGCUAACUCCGUGCCAGCCGCCGCGGUAAUACGGAGGCUGCUAGCGUUAUCCGGAUUUAUUGGGUUUAAAGGGUGCGUAGGCGGAAGGUUAAGUCAGCGGUCAAAUGUCGGUGCUCAACACCGGCCUGCCGUUGAAACUGGUCUUCUUGAGUGAGCGAGAAGUAUGCGGAAUGCGUGGUGUAGCGGUGAAAGGCAUAGAUAUCACGCAGAACUCCGAUUGCGAAGGCAGCAUACCGGCGCUCAACUGACGCUGAGGCACGAAAGCGUGGGGAUCGAACAGGAUUAGAUACCCUGGUAGGC